CUUUCCUUAGCAUACCAAAUCUUAUGUUCAGAGCACUUGAGUUUCAGGAGUUCUCAUUGAAUUCUCCACAAAAUAUUUCGUGAUGUGGCACUGAAAGAUCAGUCCAGACUUGCACAGAGAAUCACCAUUGCCUUGGAGACCCUUUAAGAUAACUUCUCCACACCCUUGAAGAGUGAAUGUAAGAGAUCUCUCGCUGCAGAAGGCAACAUUUUCAGUGGAGAUAAAGAGGACCCCUGCUAUAGGACCAGCUGUUGUUGACAAAUAGCAUUGGAAAGCAUUCAAUAGCUUCUCUCCUUCUCUAACACUGAAGAUCUGCUUGAAUAACUUCUCAACACCACCUUCUUGAAGAAUUCUGGCACCCAACCUCAACUUCCCCUUCACAGUUGCAGAUACCUUGGGCCCCAAUCUAACUGUAACAUCCAACAAUUUGGAACAAUAUUCAAAUACUGUUCCUUUUUCUAACCAAUGCCAAUUGGAAAUACUAGUUUA